GAUGAACGCUGGCGGCGUGCUUAACACAUGCAAGUCGAACGAAGCAUUUUAGCGGAACAUUUUCGGAUGGGAAGUUAAAAUGACUGAGUGGCGGACGGGUGAGUAACGCGUGGAUAACCUACCAUAUACAGGGGGACAACAGUUGGAAACGACUGCUAAUACCGCAUAAGCGCACAGUGCCGCAUGGCACGGUGUGAAAAACUCCGGUGGUAUAUGAUGGAUCCGCGUCUGAUUAGCUAGUUGGUGAGGUAACGGCCCACCAAGGCAACGAUCAGUAGCCGACCUGAGAGGGUGACCGGCCACAUUGGGACUGAGACACGGCCCAAACUCCUACGGGAGGCAGCAGUGGGGAAUAUUGCACAAUGGGCGAAAGCCUGAUGCAGCGACGCCGCGUGAGCGAAGAAGUAUUUCGGUAUGUAAAGCUCUAUCAGCAGGGAAGAAAAUGGCGGUACCUGACUAAGAAGCCCCGGCUAACUACGUGCCAGCAGCCGC
rnacentral:rRNA from 1 species